rnacentral:rRNA from 1 species
UACGUAGGGGGCAAGCGUUGUCCGGAUUUAUUGGGCGUAAAGAGCGUGUAGGCGGCCGCACAGGUCCGUUGUGAAAACUGGAGGCUUAACCUUCAGACGUCGAUGGAAACCGUGCGGCUAGAGUCCGGAAGAGGAGAGUGGAAUUCCUGGUGUAGCGGUGGAAUGCGCAGAUAUCAGGAGGAACACCGAUGGCGAAGGCAGAUCUCUGGGCCGUAACUGACGCUGAGGAGCGAAAGCGUGGGGAGCGAACAGG